CCUACGGGUGGCAGCAGUGAGGAAUAUUGGUCAAUGGACGAGAGUCUGAACCAGCCAAGUAGCGUGAAGGAUGACUGCCCUAUGGGUUGUAAACUUCUUUUAUAUGGGAAUAAAAUGUUCCACGUGUGGGAUUUUGUAUGUACCAUAUGAAUAAGGAUCGGCUAACUCCGUGCCAGCAGCCGCGGUAAUACGGAGGGUCCGAGCGUUAUCCGGAGUUAUUGGGUUUAAAGGGAGCGUAGGUGGAUUGUUAAGUCAGUUGUGAAAGUUUGCGGCUCAACCGUAAAAUUGCAGUUGAAACUGGCAGUCUUGAGUACAGUAGAGGUAGGCGGAAUUCGUGGUGUAGCGGUGAAAUGCUUAGAUAUCACGAAGAACUCCGAUUGCGAAGGCAGUUCACUGGACUGCAACUGACACUGAGGCUCGAAAGUGUGGGUAUCAAACAGGAUUAGAUACCCUUGUAGUC
rnacentral:rRNA from 1 species